CCUUAGUAACGGCGAGUGAAGCGGUAAAAGCUCAAUUUGAAAUCUGGUACUUUCAGUGCCCGAGUUGUAAUUUGUAGAAUUUGUCUUUGAUUUGGUCCUUGUCUAUGUUCCUUGGAACAGGACGUCAUAGAGGGUGAGAAUCCCGUUUGGCGAGGAUACCAUUUCUUUGUAAGACUUUUUCGAAGAGUCGAGUUGUUUGGGAAUGCAGCUCAAAGUGGGUGGUAAAUUCCAUCUAAAGCUAAAUAUUGGCGAGAGACCGAUAGCGAACAAGUACAGUGAUGGAAAGAUGAAAAGAACUUCGAAAAGAGAGUGAAAAAGUACGUGAAAUUGUUGAAAGGGAAGGGCAUUUGAUCAGACAUGGUGUUUUUUGCAUGCACUCGCCUCUCGUGGGCUUGGGCCUCUCAAAAAUUUCACUGGGCCAACAUCAGUUUUGGCGGUAGGAUAAAUCAUUAGGAACGUAGCUUCUUCGGGAGUGUUAUAGCCUAGUGGAAUACUAUCAGCCGGGACUGAGGACUGCGCUUUAUGCAAGGAUGUUGGCAUAAUGGUUAAAUGCCGC
rnacentral:rRNA from 1 species